CAGGGCAAGGGAGAGCGGAGACUUAAAUGACAACUUACUCCAAAAAAUCAAGUGCUUGUCUGCACUGGGAUUUCUCGCCGGGGGAGGAUAGGGCCCAUUGUCUAUAGGAGGGAUCAGAAAGCUGCUUCUGAGUCCAGCUGCUGCCCCUGUCCUAUUUUGUCUGUCUAUGGAAUUCAUGAGGCCUGAGACCUGAGAAUCUCUCCUUCUCUCCAUUACUACCCGUUCUCCCCAAUCACCAAAGCAAUAAAUCUACCCCUCCCCUUCUGCCAUAGACC